rnacentral:rRNA from 1 species
CUGCUUGUAGAAUUUUACCAGAAUUUCUGGGAAUUAAUUAAAUGGGGCCUUAAGGGUUUACUUGAUGAUUUCCAUUCUGGACACCUGGACAUUUCUAGGUUGAAUUAUGGAAUUAUUACAUUAGUACCCAAGGUUAAAGAUGCUAAACAAAUACAGAAAUUCAAACCAAUAUGCUUACUUAAUGUGAGUUUCAAGAUAAUAACAAAAGUACUAAUGAAUAGACUCAGCAAGGUCAUUAGGCCAAUAAUCUCUUCAAACCAGACAACAUUCAUAAAAGAGAGAUAUAUUAUGGAAGGGGUUGUGGUGUUGCAUGAAGCUUUACAAUACAUAAAAAGAAACAAAGUGCUCUGCUCUUCAAGGUAG